rnacentral:rRNA from 1 species
AGAGUUUGAUCAUGGCUCAGGACGAACGCUGGCGGCGUGCCUAAUACAUGCAAGUCGAACGAACCGCGACUAGGUGCUUGCACUUGGUCAAGGUGAGUGGCGAACGGGUGAGUAACACGUGGGUAACCUACCUCAUAGUGGGGGAUAACAGUCGGAAACGACUGCUAAUACCGCAUAGGACAUAGGAUCACAUGAUCCAGUGAGGAAAGGUGGCGCAAGCUAUCGCUAAGAGAUGGACCCGCGGUGCAUUAGCUAGUUGGUAGGGUAAAGGCCUACCAAGGCGAUGAUGCAUAGCCGACCUGAGAGGGUGAUCGGCCACAUUGGGACUGAGACACGGCCCAAACUCCUACGGGAGGCAGCAGUAGGGAAUCUUCCGCAAUGGACGCAAGUCUGACGGAGCAACGCCGCGUGAGUGAAGAAGGUCUUCGGAUCGUAAAGCUCUGUUGUUAGAGAAGAACAGCGUAUAGAGUAACUGUUAUGCGUGUGACGGUAUCUAACCAGAAAGCCACGGCUAACUACGUGCCAGCAGCCGCGGUAAUACGUAGGUGGCGAGCGUUGUCCGGAUUUAUUGGGCGUAAAGGGAGUGUAGGCGGUCUUUUAAGUCUGAUGUGAAAGCCCACGGCUCAACCGUGGAGGGUCAUUGGAAACUGGGAGACUUGAGUGCAGAAGAGGAGAGCGGAAUUCCAUGUGUAGCGGUGAAAUGCGUAGAUAUAUGGAGGAACACCAGUGGCGAAGGCGGCUCUCUGGUCUGUAACUGACGCUGAGGCUCGAAAGCGUGGGGAGCAAACAGGAUUAGAUACCCCGGUAGUCCAA